CUUGUUCAGCUAGUUGUCCUUUGAGAUGAAUACAUUAAAGGAUGUUGGUUCAAAAUGCAUCACAAACAUCAAACCCACAUUUAGUACUACCCAUCAUAGAUGAGCAACAUGCCAAAGGUCAAAUUAGUAAGUGGCAAAGCAAAGAGAGAAUUGGAGAGCCUGUACUUUGGGCCAUUGCCAUUCACUGCCUCUCACUUGGGGCAGGAGGGGAGGUGUAGGCUAGGGAGCCUGUUGUAUUUGGGAGGAGAAAAGAGAACCCAAUACUGUCAUCCAGACUAUCCAUACUAUCAUUUUGUUGAGGAUCUUAUAUCCAUCUGCUCUUAGUGCCAAAGAAUCCUUUACUUCAUCUAAAGGCAGCAGUGAAAGAAAAGAAAAGAAACAAGAAGAAAAAAACCAUUGGUUCACCAAAAAGGAUUCAGAGUCCUUUGAAUAACAAGCUGCUUAACAGUCCUGCAAAAACUCUGCCAGGGGCCUGUGGCAGUCCCCAGAAGUUAAUUGAUGGGUUUCUAAAACAUGAAGGACCUCCUGCAGAGAAACCCCUGGAAGAACUCUCUGCUUCUACUUCAGGUGUGCCAGGCCUUUCUAGUUUGCAGUCUGACCCAGCUGGCUGUGUGAGACCUCCAGCACCCAAUCUAGCUGGAGCUGUUGAAUUCAAUGAUGUGAAGACCUUGCUCAGAGAAUGGAUAACUACAAUUUCAGGUUGGCUUGGCCUGUGUUAGAUGGCCCAAGGCUGAGAUGUAGUCGUCUCAUGAUUUGAGAACAUAAACAGACUAAACUAUGCAGAUUUAACCCAUUUCUCUAACUCUGAUAAGC
rnacentral:lncRNA from 1 species